AGAGUUUGCUUCUGGCUCAGGAUGAACGCUAGCGGCAGGCUUAACACAUGCAAGUCGAGGGGCAGCGGGUGUAGCAAUACAUGCCGGCGACCGGCGCAAGGGUGCGUAACGCGUGAGCAAUCUGCCCGUAUCAGGGGGAUAAAGCGAUGGAAACGUCGUCUAAUACCGCAUAACACCAAAUGAUGGCAUCAUCGAUGGUUGAAAGCUUCGGUGGAUACGGGAUGAGCUCGCGAGACAUUAGUUAGUUGGCGGGGUAACGGCCCACCAAGACCGCGAUGUCUAGGGGAACUGAGAGGUUGGUCCCCCACACUGGAACUGAGACACGGUCCAGACUCCUACGGGAGGCAGCAGUGAGGAAUAUUGGACAAUGGCCGGAAGGCUGAUCCAGCCAUGCCGCGUGAAGGAAUAAGGUCCUAUGGAUUGUAAACUUCUUUUGUACGAGAGCAAUAAGUGUCACGAGUGACACGAUGAGAGUAUCGUACGAAUAAGCAUCGGCUAACUCCGUGCCAGCAGCCGCGGUAAUACGGAGGAUGCGAGCGUUAUCCGGAUUUAUUGGGUUUAAAGGGUGCGUAGGCGGGAUUUUAAGUCAGCGGUGAAACGCAAGGGCUCAACCCUUGACCUGCCGUUGAAACUGGAGUUCUUGAAUGCGGAUGCUGUGGGAGGAAUGUGUGGUGUAGCGGUGAAAUGCAUAGAUAUCACACAGAACACCGAUUGCGAAGGCAUCUCACAAAUCCGUGAUUGACGCUGAGGCACGAAAGUGUGGGGAUCAAACAGGAUUAGAUACCCUGGUAGUCCACACUGUAAA
rnacentral:rRNA from 1 species